AUUGAACGCUGGCGGCAUGCUUUACACAUGCAAGUCGAACGGUAACAGGCCGCAAGGUGCUGACGAGUGGCGAACGGGUGAGUAAUGCAUCGGAACGUGCCCAGUCGUGGGGGAUAACGCAGCGAAAGCUGCGCUAAUACCGCAUACGAUCUAUGGAUGAAAGCGGGGGACCGAAAGGCCUCGCGCGAUUGGAGCGGCCGAUGUCAGAUUAGGUAGUUGGUGGGGUAAAGGCCCACCAAGCCAACGAUCUGUAGCUGGUCUGAGAGGACGACCAGCCACACUGGGACUGAGACACGGCCCAGACUCCUACGGGAGGCAGCAGUGGGGAAUUUUGGACAAUGGGCGCAAGCCUGAUCCAGCAAUGCCGCGUGCAGGAAGAAGGCCUUCGGGUUGUAAACUGCUUUUGUACGGAACGAAACGGUCCGGGUUAAUAUCCUGGGCUAAUGACGGUACCGUAAGAAUAAGCACCGGCUAACUACGUGCCAGCAGCCGCGGUAACAC
rnacentral:rRNA from 1 species